AUGAGGAAGCAGACCUCAGCCAAUGACUGACAGACUCAGGGUGUGAAAGGCUGGCCCCUUUGCCUCAAAGGGAACUAACUCAGGUGUAAUGUUUGCUCAAGGACUUACCUGUGGAAUUACACUGAAAUUAGUCUCUGCUGCAACCACAAACUUGUUAGUUUUUAAUCCUUACCCUCUCCUGCCUCCCUCACUCCCCUUCUCCUGGUGGGUGCCUUCUAAUAAGCCACUGAACUUCUCCAUCUCUGCUUCCGGAAAACUCAGCCUAAGGCAAUUGUGGCCCAGGGUUUCAUCGGUUCAGAUCCUGGGUGCAGACAUGUCACCGCUCAUCAGAAGGACCUACGACUAGAAUAUACAACAAUGUACAAGGGGGUCUUGGGGAGAAGAAGAAAAAGAAAAAAAGAAAAUUGGCAACAGAUACUAGCUCAGGAACCAAUUUAAAAAAAAAAAUGAUGAGGAGUAUGGAAGGAAAAAAAAAGAAUAGUAGUCAUCCACUUGCCCAAAAUAGCUGGAGGGUACACAUAUUUGUGUAUAAUUUUAUGUGUCUGUAACAGUACAAUCUGUACUUCUCCAAUUUUCAAGUUAAGAUUUUAUUACCACUAUCAUAAUUCCUAUUUUCUACUCUUUGCAACCUCUAAGCAAUAUCUUGUAUCCAAGAGUGAAAUAUUUAAGGAACAAACGUGGCAAGGACAAGUGCAAAUGUUUGACAAAGGUGUAACAACCAAAGAACCAUCAGCUUCCUUCAAUUUUACCUAAACGUUUAUAUUCCACAAGAGGAGAAUUCCUUUGCUUAGAGUUUAGGAGAGAUAUACUCAUGCAAUUAAAUGGUUUUUGAAGAAUUGUUUAACAAUAGGUUAAAAUCCCCUAAAACUUUUUUUUAAAUCUACUGGUAUGCCUAGAAACCAGAGUCUGAGAAAGAAACAUUUGAAGUUGGCCGUCUUAGUCUUAGUAGAGAAUGAGUUGAGCACCAUUUGUUACCUAGUUCUGUAGUAAAUGCUGGAGGAGAUAUAGAAUAAAUUUGGGUUCCUGGCCAUAAACUUAUAUAAUCUAAUUGAAGAAACAAACAGGACGUAUGAAAAACUGCUUUAAAAUGUAGAAUUGCUUAUAAAUAUUAAAGUCUGAGCUAGAAAUUCUGUAACUUAGGGGUAUAGAAAAGAGGACCUAGGUGAUUAAGCGAAGAAGUUAGGGCGUGAGAUCUUCCAUGGAGGCCUCCGAGUUGUCAGGCCUGGCGGACAGUGAUGCCUGCGAGAAGUGUUGGAGAGGGGAUUUGUUUUUCCUUUUAGCCCGAGGUACAUGAUGUCGUGAUGAAGACGUUGUGUCCAUUGGAGAAAAUACAGCAGACAGGACUGAAGGGUUGAAGUUACGCAUUUUAUUUAUGGAGCUGAAUAUGUUGGGAGGCAAAGGAGGCGACAACUUAACACAUCUGAGCUUCCUCUAAGAAGUGCUGUGGCCCACUGAGUCAGCAGCGGCCUCUUCCCUACUGCGGGUGAGGCGACUCCUCAACCACCUCACGUCAAGCCAACUGAGUAAGGCCUUCAAUGAUCCUUCCCUACUCAAGGGCCUGGAGAAAGUGCUGCUGCCAAUGAAGAGCUGUAUUAGAAGAGAGAUGAAGAUGAUUGGAGUUGAAAGGAGUGAAGAACUGUAAGCCAAUAGUGGACCAUUCCUCA
ensembl:lncRNA